rnacentral:rRNA from 1 species
GAUGAACGCUGGCGGCGUGCCUAAUACAUGCAAGUCGAGCGAAGCGGGGACGGGUGAGUAACACGUGGAUAACCUCAUAUAAGACUGGGCUAACUUCGGAAAACCGAAGCUAACCCGGGUACUUAUGUAUGGAUAUGCGCGGCAUUAGCUAGUUGGUAAGGUACCGGCUUAACAAGGCAACUAUGCAUCGCCGACCUGAGAGUGUGUCCGGCCAAACGGGAACUGAGACCCGUUCCAGACUCCUACGGGAGGCAGCAGUAGGGAAUCUUCCGUAAUGGGCGAAAUCCUGUCGGAGCAACGCCGCGUGAGUGCUGAAGUUCUUCGGAUCGUAAAACUCUGUUAUUAGGGAAGCGGUACCUAAUCAGAAAGCCACGGCUAACUCCGUGCCAGCAGCCGCGGUAAUUC